AUUGAACGCUGGCGGCAGGCCUAACACAUGCAAGUCGAGCGGAUGAACGGUGCUUGCUCCUGCUUUCAGCUGCGGACUGGUGUGUAAUUCCUAGGUAUCUCCCUUUUUUUUUUUUAUAACGUCCUGAAACGGGCGCUCAUACCGCAUUCUUCCUUACGUUCUAAGUGUGGUAUCUUCGGACCUCACGCUCUCACAUGAUCCUAGGUCGCAUUAGCUAGUUGGUGGGGUAAAGGCCUACCAAGCCGACGAUCCGUAACUGGUCUGAGAGGAUGAUCAGUCACACUGGAACUGAGACACGGUCCAGACUCCUACGGGAGGCAGCAGUGGGGAAUAUUGGACAAUGGGCGAAAGCAUGAUCCAGCGAUGCCGCGUGUGUGAAGAAGGUCUUCGGAUUGUAAAGCACGUUAAGUUGGGAGGAAGGGAAGUAAGUUAAUACCGUGCUGUUGUGACGGUACCAAAAGAAUAAGCACCGGCUAACUUCGUG
rnacentral:rRNA from 1 species